rnacentral:rRNA from 1 species
GAGUUUGAUCCUGGCUCAGGACGAACGCUGGCGGCGUGCGUAAUACAUGCAAGUGGAACGCAUGAUUGAUACCGGAGCUUGCUCCACCAUUAAUCAUGAGUCGCGAACGGGUGAGUAACGCGUAGGUAACCUACCUCAUAGCGGGGGAUAACUAUUGGAAACGAUAGCUAAUACCGCAUAACAGUCUUUGACACAUGUUAGAGACUUAAAAGGAGCAAUUGCUUCACUAUGAGAUGGACCUGCGUUGUAUUAGCUAGUUGGUGAGGUAAAGGCUCACCAAGGCGACGAUACAUAGCCGACCUGAGAGGGUGAUCGGCCACACUGGGACUGAGACACGGCCCAGACUCCUACGGGAGGCAGCAGUAGGGAAUCUUCGGCAAUGGGGGGAACCCUGACCGAGCAACGCCGCGUGAGUGAAGAAGGUUUUCGGAUCGUAAAGCUCUGUUGUUAGAGAAGAACGUGUGUGAGAGUGGAAAGUUCACACAGUGACGGUAACUAACCAGAAAGGGACGGCUAACUACGUGCCAGCAGCCGCGGUAAUACGUAGGUCCCGAGCGUUGUCCGGAUUUAUUGGGCGUAAAGCGAGCGCAGGCGGUUCUGUAAGUCUGAAGUUAAAGGCAGUGGCUUAACCAUUGUACGCUUUGGAAACUGCAGGACUUGAGUGCAGAAGGGGAGAGUGGAAUUCCAUGUGUAGCGGUGAAAUGCGUAGA